AUUGAACGCUGGCGGCAGGCCUAACACAUGCAAGUCGAGCGGAUGACGGGAGCUUGCUCCUUGAUUCAGCGGCGGACGGGUGAGUAAUGCCUAGGAAUCUGCCUGGUAGUGGGGGACAACGUUUCGAAAGGAACGCUAAUACCGCAUACGUCCUACGGGAGAAAGCAGGGGACCUUCGGGCCUUGCGCUAUCAGAUGAGCCUAGGUCGGAUUAGCUAGUUGGUGGGGGUAAUGGCUCACCAAGGCGACGAUCCGUAACUGGUCUGAGAGGAUGAUCAGUCACACUGGAACUGAGACACGGUCCAGACUCCUACGGGAGGCAGCAGUGGGGAAUAUUGGACAAUGGGCGAAAGCCUGAUCCAGCCAUGCCGCGUGUGUGAAGAAGGUCUUCGGAUUGUAAAGCACUUUAAGUUGGGAGGAAGGGCAGUAAGCUAAUACUUUGCUGUUUUGACGUUACCUGCAGAAAAAGCACCGGCUAACUACGUGCCAGCCGCCGCCGUAA
rnacentral:rRNA from 1 species